GGCAUCGGCUGCAGCAGGAUGGUGGAGCAGUACCAAGCAGCAAUCUCCCCCAUUGUGAGCAGGAGCAAUUUGGAGAGACAGAUUCAGCCAUGUGUCCUGAUGUGUUGCAUAAAUAUCAGACUCUCAGAGAAGCAUUCCAUGAAAGGCAUAUGAGUCAGGAAGCCCUAAAGAUGGCGCCAUCCUUAGCCACUCUGUCUGCAAUCAGGU